ACCUUAAAACUAGCCUAAUUACCAUUAAUUAAUUACAAUAUUGUUAAUAAAUUAUAUUAAUAUUUUAUACUUAAAACAUUUUUAUAAUCUUAGUAUAGGUGAUAGAACAGA
rnacentral:rRNA from 1 species